rnacentral:lncRNA from 1 species
CUCGCUUGAGGGAGGACACACCUGGGGGAUGGUGUGAAGGUUCUCGAGGGGACAGGAGCCUGGUGCUCACUUUACAGAUGAGAAUACCGCCGGCACCUGCAUGCACACAGGUGCACCUAGCAAAGAAAAUCCCCUUCCCGUGGGGCUCGCCUUGCAGCGGGUGGGAGGAAGAGACAAGCUCAUUGAAAUGCGAACACUUUGCGCGUCGGAAGAGGAACUCAGAAGGCAGCGGUGGCUGGACGCCCACGCUGGCCUUGAUCAUCUAGGCAGAGGCCUGCAAGGAAGUUGG